UGAUAGUGUAUUGUGUAUGUGUCCAAUG
rnacentral:sRNA from 1 species